GACGAACGCUGGCGGCGUGCUUAACACAUGCAAGUCGAACGGAAAGGCCCUGCUUUUGUGGGGUGCUCGAGUGGCGAACGGGUGAGUAACACGUGAGUAACCUGCCCUUGACUUUGGGAUAACUUCAGGAAACUGGGGCUAAUACCGGAUAGGAGCUCCUGCUGCAUGGUGGGGGUUGGAAAGUUUCGGCGGUUGGGGAUGGACUCGCGGCUUAUCAGCUUGUUGGUGGGGUAGUGGCUUACCAAGGCUUUGAAGGGUAGCCGGCCUGAGAGGGUGACCGGCCACAUCGGGACGGGGAUGCGGCACAGACUCCUACGGGAGGCAGCAGUGGGGAAUAUUGCACAAUGGGAGGAAGCCUGAUGCAGCCAAGCCGCGUGCGGGAUGACGGCCUUCGGGUAGUAAUCCGCUUUCGCCUGUGACGAAGCGUGAGUGACGGUAAUGGGUAAAGAAGCACCGGCUAACUACGUG
rnacentral:rRNA from 1 species